rfam:Nematostella vectensis strain CH2 x CH6 NEMVEscaffold_25_Cont4526, whole genome shotgun sequence.
AGCCCUAUGGCCCAAUGGAUAAGUCGCCUGACUACGGAUCAGGAGAUUCCAGGUUCGAGUCCUGGCAGGGUCG